AAAAUACAUUAUAUAGUUGCAGCUAGAACCAGUCAAAAAACUGACAAAUCUGUUUUCCAUUAGUGCAGUGAAAUUGUAGAUUGGGGAAAAAUAUUUACAUGGAAUAAUUUUAUGUUUCUUCAUUUUGAUAUCGCAGAAGCAUUUUAUUUACAAUAAGGUGGCCAUGUUUCAUUUUGAUGUAUGCUGUAAACAGCAACUCUUGUGACUCAGGCCACCUGCAAGGUUUCUUAUUUUGUUUUCCUAGGUUACUUUUCAAAAAAGCCAUUUACAACAGUGUCUCACCAUACUGGGCUGUGACAUCAUGGCCAGAGAGCGCAGCAACUUUGAGACCUACUCCAUGUUUUAUGAAAAUACUCUCCAGCAGCAGCACGGUUUACUUUACCAAAAAGAACAAGAGCUGCACGACGUGGAAGAAGGUGGCAACCAAAGUGAUACGGCUCUGACGCAGGGAAAGUUGGAUGUCUAUCGCCUUAGCAUUGAGCAACGAGUGUUUGAAAUCAUCAGUUAACUGAGGAGUUGACAAUAUGAUUGAUCUGCAGAAAAAGUUUGGCUCCACUAAAAAUAAUGGUGACUUGAAAGGACAUUUGUCUAAAGUAAGGAAAUACAUAUGUGUGUCAGUAAAUGAACACAAGGAUAAUACCCUGGUUAAGCUUGCUGAGGCUUAAGUUACUGCAUUCUGCCUGGGACGUUGGUUGGGUGAAGAGCAUGGAGGUGGUCCAUUACUAGACUCUGUUAAUGGCUACUCAUUUGUCAGGCUGUCAUGAAUCAAUCAUCUUUGACUACGUGUUUAUGCUCCAAGUACAGAAAUUUUGGGCCAAACCCAGCCCUUAAGCCCUAAACAACUACAUGUAUUUGAAUUGAAUUUGGUUCUAAACUUAGGAACUCUGCUUUCAGUCUGUUCUGAGUGAAACUAACACCGUGCUUUCUAUGCAGGUGAACGUCAGAGAGGUUGAACUUGGAACUGAAGAAGUAUAAAUGUGAACUCACUUUCAAUCAUAUGUCAGCAUUGUCCUGUGUUGUCAUCGUCCCUUUUUUGGGUGGGGGAAAGAGAA